rnacentral:rRNA from 1 species
GAUGAACGCUGGCGGCGUGCUUAACACAUGCAAGUCGAACGGUAAGGCCCUGCUUUUGGGGUGUGUUCGUGGGGCGCACGGGAGUGACACACGAGUGUAAUCUGCCCUUCUCUGGGGUAUACCUGGAGAAAACUGGGUCUAAUACCGGAUAGGAGCUCCUCGCACGGGGGGGGUGGUGGAGAGUUUCGGCGGUUGGGGAUGGACUCGCGGCUUAUCAGCUUGUUGGUGGGGUAGUGGCUUACCAAGGCUUUGACGGGUAGCCGGCCUGAGAGGGUGACCGGCCACACUGGGACUGAGAUACGGCCCAGACUCCUACGGGAGGCAGCAGUGGGGAAUAUUGCACAAUGGGCGGAAGCCUGAUGCAGCAACGCCGCGUGCGGGAUGACGGCCUUCGGGUUGUAAACCGCUUUCGCCUGUGACGAAGCGUGAGUGACGGUAAUGGGUAAAGAAGCACCGGCUAACUACGUG